rnacentral:rRNA from 1 species
CUGGUUGAUCCUGCCAGUAGUCAUAUGCUUGUCUCAAAGACUAAGCCAUGCAUGUCUAAGUAUAAAUGUUAUACAGUGAAACUGCGAAUGGCUCAUUAAAACAGUUAUAGUUUAUUUGAUAAUCGAAUUUACAUGGAUAACCGUGGUAAUUCUAGAGCUAAUACAUGCUGGUUAGCCUGACUUCGAGGAAGGGCUGUAUUCAUUAGAUAACAAACCAAUAUUCUUCGUGUCUAUUGUGAUGACUCAUAAUAACUGAUCGAAUCGCAUGGUCCUUGACCGCGAUAAAUCAUUCAAGUUUCUGCCCCAUCAGCUUUCGAUGGUAGUGUAUUGGACUACCAUGGCUUUAACGGGUAACGGAGGAUUAGGGUUCGAUUCCGGAGAGGGAGCCUGAGAAACGGCUACCACAUCUAAGGAAGGCAGCAGGCGCGUAAAUUACCCAAUCCUGACUCAGGGAGGUAGUGACAAGAAAUAACGGACCGAGGCUUUGCUUCGGGAUUGCAAUGAGUAGAAUUUAAACCCCUUUACGAGGAUCCAUUGGAGGGCAAGUCUGGU